rnacentral:rRNA from 1 species
GAUGAACGCUGGCGGCGUGCCUAAUACAUGCAAGUCGAGCGAACGGACGAGAAGCUUGCUUUUCUGAUGUUAGCGGCGGACGGGUGAGUAACACGUGGAUAACCUACCUAUAAGACUGGGAUAACUUCGGGAAACCGGAGCUAAUACCGGAUAAUACUUUGAACCGCAUGGUUCAAAAGUGAAAGACGGUCUUGCUGUCACUUAUAGAUGGAUCCGCGCUGCAUUAGCUAGUUGGUAAGGUAACGGCUUACCAAGGCAACGAUGCAUAGCCGACCUGAGAGGGUGAUCGGCCACACUGGAACUGAGACACGGUCCAGACUCCUACGGGAGGCAGCAGUAGGGAAUCUUCCGCAAUGGGCGAAAGCCUGACGGAGCAACGCCGCGUGAGUGAUGAAGGUCUUCGGAUCGUAAAACUCUGUUAUUAGGGAAGAACAUAUGUGUAAGUAACUGUGCACAUCUUGACGGUACCUAAUCAGAAAGCCACGGCUAACUACGUG